rnacentral:rRNA from 1 species
AUUGAACGCUGGCGGCAGGCCUAACACAUGCAAGUCGAGCGGAUGAGGAAAGCUUGCUUUUCGAUUCAGCGGCGGACGGGUGAGUAAUGCCUAGGAAUCUGCCUGUUAGGGGGGGAUAACUCGGGGAAACUCGGGCUAAUACCGCAUACGUCCUACGGGAGAAAGUGGGGGAUCUUCGGACCACACGCUAACAGAUGAGCCUAGGUCGGAUUAGCUAGUAGGUGAGGUAAUGGCUCACCUAGGCGACGAUCCGUAACUGGUCUGAGAGGAUGAUCAGUCACACUGGAACUGAGACACGGUCCAGACUCCUACGGGAGGCAGCAGUGGGGAAUAUUGGACAAUGGGCGAAAGCCUGAUCCAGCCAUGCCGCGUAUGUGAAGAAGGUCUUCGGAUUGUAAAGCACUUUAAGUUGGGAGGAAGGGUAUUCACCUAAUACGUGGGUACUUUGACGUUACCAACAGAAUAAGCACCGGCUAACUCUGUGCCAGCCGCCGCCGUAAAAC